UGGGGAAUCUUGGUCAAUGGGCGAAAGCCUGAACCAGCGAUGCCGCGUGAGUGAUGAAGGCCUUCGGGUUGUAAAGCUCUGUGGGGAGGGACGAAAAACCGGGAGUCGAAUAGGCUCGCGGGUUGACGGUACCUCCUUAGCAAGCACCGGCUAACUCUGUGCCAGCAGCCGCGGUAAGACAGAGGGUGCAAACGUUGCUCGGAAUUACUGGGCGUAAAGCGCGUGUAGGCGGAUUGGCAAGUCAAACGUGAAAUCCCCGGGCUCAACCCGGGAACUGCGCUCGAAACUGCCAGUCUUGAGUGUCGGAGAGGGAAGCGGAAUUCCUGGUGUAGAGGUGAAAUUCGUAGAUAUCAGGAGGAACACCGGUGGCGAAGGCGGCUUCCUGGACGACAACUGACGCUGAGACGCGAAAGCGUGGGGAGCAAACAGG
rnacentral:rRNA from 1 species